rnacentral:rRNA from 1 species
UGGGGAAUAUUGGACAAUGGGCGAAAGCCUGAUCCAGCCAUGCCGCGUGUGUGAAGAAGGUCUUCGGAUUGUAAAGCACUUUAAGUUGGGAGGAAGGGUUGUAGAUUAAUACUCUGCAAUUUUGACGUUACCGACAGAAUAAGCACCGGCUAACUCUGUGCCAGCAGCCGCGGUAAUACAGAGGGUGCAAGCGUUAAUCGGAAUUACUGGGCGUAAAGCGCGCGUAGGUGGUUAGUUAAGUUGGAUGUGAAAUCCCCGGGCUCAACCUGGGAACUGCAUUCAAAACUGACUGACUAGAGUAUGGUAGAGGGUGGUGGAAUUUCCUGUGUAGCGGUGAAAUGCGUAGAUAUAGGAAGGAACACCAGUGGCGAAGGCGACCACCUGGACUGAUACUGACACUGAGGUGCGAAAGCGUGGGGAGCAAACAGGAUUAGAUACCCACGUAGUCCCUG